rnacentral:rRNA from 1 species
AUUAGAGUUUGAUCCUGGCUCAGAGUGAACGCUGGCGGCAGGCCUAACACAUGCAAGUCGAGCGGCAGCGCGUCCGACCACCCUCGGGUGGUCGGAUGGCGGCGAGCGGCGGACGGGUGAGGAAUGCAUCGGAAUCUGCCUCGUUGUGGGGGAUAACGUAGGGAAACUUACGCUAAUACCGCAUACGACCUACGGGUGAAAGUGGGGGACCUUCGGGCCUCACGCGAUGAGAUGAGCCGAUGCCGGAUUAGCUAGUUGGCGGGGUAAAGGCCCACCAAGGCGACGAUCCGUAGCUGGUCUGAGAGGAUGAUCAGCCACACUGGAACUGAGACACGGUCCAGACUCCUACGGGAGGCAGCAGUGGGGAAUAUUGGACAAUGGGGGCAACCCUGAUCCAGCCAUGCCGCGUGUGUGAAGAAGGCCUUCGGGUUGUAAAGCACUUUUGUUGGGGAAGAAACCGGCCGGGUUAAUACCCUGGUUGAAUGACGGUACCCAAAGAAUAAGCACCGGCUAACUUCGUGCCAGCAGCCGCGGUAAUAAU